UNUGACUUGAGUGCAGAAGGGGAGAGUGGAAUUCCAUGUGUAGCGGUGAAAUGCGUAGAUAUAUGGAGGAACACCAGUGGCGAAAGCGGCUCUCUGGUCUGUCACUGACGCUGAGGCUNGAAAGCGUGGGUAGCGAACAGGAUUAGAUACCCUGGUAGUCCACGCCGUAAACGAUGAGUGCUAGGUGUUAGGCCCUUUCCGGGGCUUAGUGCCGGAGCUAACGCAAUAAGCACUCCGCCUGGGGAGUACGACCGCAAGGUUGAAACUCAAAGGAAUUGACGGGGGCCCGCACAAGCGGUGGAGCAUGUGGUUUAAUUCGAAGCAACGCGAAGAACCUUACCAGGUCUUGACAUCCCGAUGCUAUUCUUAGAGAUAGGAAGUUACUUCGGUACAUCGGAGACAGGUGGUGCAUGGUUGUCGUCAGCUCGUGUCGUGAGAUGUUGGGUUAAGUCCCGCAACGAGCGCAACCCUUAUUGUUAGUUGCCAUCAUUAAGUUGGGCACUCUAGCGAGACUGCCGGUAAUAAGCCGGAGGAAGGUGGGGAUGACGUCAAAUCAUCAUGCCCCUUAUGACCUGGGCUACACACGUGCUACAAUGGUCGGUACAACGAGUUGCGAGCCGGUGACGGCAAGCUAAUCUCUGAAAGCCGAUCUCAGUUCGGAUUGGAGGCUGCAACUCGCCUCCAUGAAGUCGGAAUCGCUAGUAAUCGCGGAUCAGCACGCCGCGGUGAAUACGUUCCCGGGCCUUGUACACACCGCCCGUCACACCACGAGAGUUUGUAACACCCGAAGUCGGUGAGGUAACCUUUUAGGGGCC
rnacentral:rRNA from 1 species